UCUGGUCGCCAAAAUAAUAAAUAUUUGGUCCCUGAUGCUCUAAAUUGAGCGGGACAGAGGACACAUUUAUUUACCUCUUAAAAAUAAAUGAAAAAUCAGAAACAAAAGGCCUCUAUAUUUAAGGUACUUAGCCAAAAAAAAAAAAAAACUCCUUAAGCGAUAACUUUACUCUCUCAAAGUCAAGAAAUCCCCAAAUCUUCUUUUAUCAAAACCUAAGUGAUACGGUAAGCUAUCGAUAACACAGAAUUCGUCGCACGAAUUCUCCAUUGUCGGAGGAGAGACCUAAUAUCAGCCUUAGGUCUCUCGUCUAUGAGUUCUUGUGCAGCAGAGAAGUGUGGUAUCUUUGAUAUAUGUAGUUCGUCCGUUGCUAGGAUUGAGUUUGUUCUUUUUCUCUGUGACCAAUUUCAAAAUUAGAAUCUCUUGCCAAAGCAUCAAGAUGUGGUGAGUCAACUUAUCCUUUUCAAAAAGGAGUAUAUCUGUCAGUCACUAAAGAAGAAAUCUUCAACCCCGCCCUGAUUCCACCUCUACGCUCUCCACCAUUUCACCAUGCUUGAUGGAGGACCGCGUUGAACGUACAUCUCAAGCAGAGGAAAAACUUAGGAGCUAAAUCAUGUCGGUAGUGAAUCUCUAUUUGUAGAGUCUCUUGUUCAAUAUGCUACAGAUCAUUGUUGUUGUGGUAAGCCAUCGUUUCAAUGUUCUUCUCAAAGAUUGGGUUUAGGCAGUGCUAUCAAAAGCGCGCGCUUUAAGCAAGAAACGAGACGCAGCGCAGGGCUAUUGCUUCUCUGCCCUGAAGCGAGCAAUGGAGAAAUGGAUGAUAAUAUUGUUGCAUUUGUUUUUGUCAUAUGCAGGGUUUUCAUUUGCUGGAAAGAAUUGGAUUUUGAAUGUCUAGAAUUUUUAUAUGAUUAUUCCUCUGCUUUUUCUAUAAAAUGGAGGGCAUGUCUGAUAAUGUUCAUGGAGUUAUAUUAGCUAUAUCAUCCAGUAUUUUCGUUGGUCCAGCUUUGUUAUUAAGAAGCAAGGUCUAAAAAAAGCUGGUGCAAAUGGGAAAUGAGCAAGUUAUUUUUCUUUCCCAGUGUGCAUAAUUUCUUGUAUUAGCUUUUGCACCAUUUAAUCUCUAUAUUUAGAUUUGCUGUUAGGUAAUUAAGUUUAUUGGUUUAGUUAAGCAAUGGGAUAGUUUUUUUAUUUUUUAUAAUUGACAAAUCCAGAGAGCCCGUAGAAUACAAUUCGAAACUCAGUGGAUAAUGGGGUUGUACCCUUCUUCGCUUAAAUAUCAUAUGUUUUCUUUUGGCAGGAUUCGAACAUGUGACAUGUUCCUAACCCGGUGGAGUAGUUUAUUUAUGUCAAUUACGGGAUAUGCUUUAUCCUUGUGGGGAUUGGUUGUUUUCUAAGUAUGUCGUACUCAUCCACAUGCAGCAGCUCAAGGAUACAUUAGCAUGAUUAUCUUGAUCGUGAUAAUUUAGUAUACUUGUAAUACCUUCCUUGCUUAAAAAUUUUCCCUUGAUAACUCUGUCGUGGAAUACACUAACCUGCACCUAUUUACAUCAAACCAAGCAAUUUAACCGUCAAAUUCACAAAUUGAUAUGAGAAUACAUUUUAUUUCACCAUGACUAAAUAUAAAAGUUUAUAUGCGAAGGUACACGUCUUGCAUUCAUUUGUUAGGUGCAAAACUGGCAAUUACGUUUUUUCCCAUACAGAGUUUAGUUGCCUAGUUUUUCAUUUGUAGGGAUUCCAUAGGGAAGUUUGGGAUGUUAAACAUACAUGUACAUUUCUAACUACAUGGUCAAAGUUGAUUAAGUAAAAUUUAUGAUUUUGCUAUCAAUGAAAAUUUUGUGUGCGCAUAAUACCAUAUAUUCUUAUAAAAUUUCUUCUGCUUUUUGUUGAGGCUAAGGAAAUUGGUCUUGUUAUUAUGAAUUACCAAUUGAUGCUGAAUUUUGAACAGGUUCAGGAGGCCACCCCUUGUUGGAACCUUGUUUGGUAGGCUGGAAUGUUAUCUAGUAAGAAAAAUCUUUUGUUAUUUUAGAGAGUUCUUUUGACUUUAAGCAUGAGUUCAUUGACCAUAUAGUUAACUCAACUUUCUUGGGAUUGGAGUGGAGUAGUUGUUGUAUGAAUCCUUAAGCAUAUAAUGUUGUAUGCCUAAGAAAAAACCUGCAUCGAUUAUGGAACACAAAGACUUUGAACAUGCUUUAGAAAAAGAAAAAAAAACAGAGAAUAUCAUGAAAAAGCUCUUGGAUAAGUUAUCUUAAGAGUCUGAUAUAUGAAAUUAUCUGGAAAAAAUGACAGUUUUAACUUGAUCAAAAGCUGAUCCCGUACUUAAGAUCUAUGAAAAGCUCACAAGAUAUGCAUAUCUAGUCUUCCAAUUUCUUGUAGUGAUUAUUGGAGAGGGAGAUAACUUUGCCGCUUAUGCAUAGGCCCCGACAAUACUUGUGCACGCCUAGGGGCUUUAAGUAUGAUUGCCAGGUACGUCGUUAUGUAGUGCAUUUUUUAUAUUUUUGUUAUCAUUUUUACUCAUUACAUCUUAUAGAUCCUUGUUAUUUAAUACAUCUUAUAGAUUACUCAAUGUUUGAGGAAGUAUAAACAAACGACAAAUUCGAAUGAAAUGAUACUUAGUUGUCAAUGUCUGUUUGUUUCUUUAGGUCAGAUUUAUACUUUGGGGCCACAUUUAGAAGUCUAGCCUAAAGAUGGGAUUCUUAAGAGCCAUAUUCAAUGGUUUGACCAGUUUGGGGUCUUAAUCUUGUUUUAUGUUUCUGUAUCUGAUUGAGCAACUUAAAAAAUCAUCUGUACUCUGAUUUUAUUAUUGAGAUCUCGUCCAUUAAUCUGAAGCUACAUUUUCAACUAUACAACAACAACAUAUCCAGUGAAACCCCACAUAGUGGGGUUUGAGGAGGAUAGAUAGUUGGAAAAUAUUAUAUUUCUUAGAACUUUGCUUUAAAUACUCUAGCUCAUGUUAAACAUGUUGGUUGAAAUUUUGAUCUUCCUUCUUAUGGAAAUUAAACUUUAUGCAACUUAAAGGUUGGAGCGCCAUUUUGUGAGCAUUUGCUUCCAUGGCUGAAUUUAACGUUUGCUGGAAGCUAGUAGCUGCUAUAUUUAUAAUUUACUUCAUUUAUAUUCAUCCAAACAGUGAGCAGCUAAGGUUGAACUUGUUUCUUAUAUCAUUUUUAUGAGAAAUGACUAAAUUUCUCAGUACUGCUUUGUUUUAUAUGCUUUAAAGCUCUAGCUCAAAGGACUUACCGUUAAAGAAAGUGCAAUUGUUGUUUUGAUGAUGGAAAAAGCCUUAUUCAAGAUCGAUAAAAGAGCAAUUUUCUACCAGAUGGAAAAAGUCUUAUUGUUGUUAACUCUUGUUACUUUUAUUUGUUUCCAGUUUAAUUUUUGUGAUUCCUUGUUUGGUACCAGAAAGAGUUCAUAGUCUCACUUGGUUUGGUGGAAGGUUAAAAGAAUUACCAUCUACAGUAUGAGAAUGGAAAUCUUUUAGUUAGGAACAUAUAUUACAUGAAGAAUAGCAGCGAGCUCUUAUUUUUCUAACUUCGCCAGUGUAAUCUAUAGAAAUUGAGAGAAGUCCAGUAGCGUGUUUCUCUUUAAAUGGGAAACGACGCCUUAAAUUCAAACACUUCUAUUAUUCUUGUCAGUUAUCACGGUUAUUCUGUAAGUUGUGGUUCUUUAAAAUAUAUUUUUGGAUCUUGGUUAAUGCGUCGCAAAGCUUUUCUAAUCAAUUUUCUUAAUUUUCCAGCAGCAUUGUUGAUGUUGUUGGAUAACACCUCAUGAAUUUAGACUUCUUUUGGGAUUUUGAAGAUUGAAGUUACAAGUCAAGAUGAAGUUUAGAAAAUGCACAAGCUCAUUAUUAAUUUUCUAGGAAUGUAUUGCAAAACUUGAUAUCAUAGUCUAGCUCGGGAUGUUAGCUUAGUUCUUUUGUUUAGGUGUUGAGCACAUAUUGAAACUAACAUCAUGGGAUGUUAACCAUUUUAUUGUAAUUAAUAACUCGUCUUUCUGUCCAUAUAAAACUUUUUUAUAUCUA